rnacentral:rRNA from 1 species
GUGAACGCUGGCGGUAGGCCUAACACCUGCAAGUCGAACGGCAGCACAGUAAGAGCUUGCUCUUACGGGUGGCGAGUGGCGGACGGGUGAGGAAUACAUCGGAAUCUACUUUUUCGUGGGGGAUAACGUAGGGAAACUUACGCUAAUACCGCAUACGACCUACGGGUGAAAGCAGGGGAUCUUCGGACCUUGCGCGAUUGAAUGAGCCGAUGUCGGAUUAGCUAGUUGGCGGGGUAAAGGCCCACCAAGGCGACGAUCCGUAGCUGGUCUGAGAGGAUGAUCAGCCACACUGGAACUGAGACACGGUCCAGACUCCUACGGGAGGCAGCAGUGGGGAAUAUUGGACAAUGGGCGCAAGCCUGAUCCAGCCAUACCGCGUGGGUGAAGAAGGCCUUCGGGUUGUAAAGCCCUUUUGUUGGGAAAGAAAAGCAGCAGGUUAAUACCCCGCUGUUCUGACGGUACCCAAAGAAUAAGCACCGGCUAACUCCGUG